rnacentral:tRNA from 1 species
GUGACUGAAAAUAUGAAAAAACAGUGAUUUUCUGAAUGGCGAUCAACACAGAAAAAUACCGUUUUAGGCGGAUUGUGAUUCCGGUUGUCGUGGGUUCGAUCCCCAUCAGCCACCCCA